AUGGCGGCGGAGACGUGCGGUCACCAUCACCACUGGUCGGGCUGGAGGAUUGGGGGAGGUUCCCAGUUCGUUCCUCUGAAAAUUAUGCACACCAAUGGCGGCGGCGCAGCGCGUUCGCUCAGCCUCGACCUCUCCCCGGCCAAAUGGGCGCCGCUGGUAUUUCUCUUCCUCCUGCUCAUUGACGGCGCCCUGUUUGCCGCGUCUGCCACCACGGACACCAUCCUCCCCGGCGAGGGCAUCUCCGGGAACGAGACCCUGGUCUCCAGGAGCGGCGGCUUCGACCACACGGAGGGCCCGAACAGUACCGAGUUCUUGCAGUUCCAUCUGGGGCAAGUCAGCCUGAUGCGGUACUCGGAGCCGGAUCACGCCGCAAACGGCACCGGUGGCUGGGUCGCUCGCUGGUCCUUCCCUUCCGAUUGCAAAUCCGGCGGGUUCUUCUGCGGCGACUUCGGCGCCUGCACAGGCAGCGGGAAGUGCGGCUGCGUGGACGGGUUCACGCCGUCGUACCCGAUUGAGUGGGGGCUUGGGUACUUCGCCAACGGCUGCUCGAGGUCUAUCCCGCUGAGCUGCGAGUCCGGCGGCCAGACGGAGCACGACGACUCCUUCGCCCCGUUGGACAAGCUGCAAGGGCUUCCUUACAACGCCCAGGACGAGGUGGCCGGAACCGACGAAGACUGCAGAGCGGCUUGCCGGAGCAAAUGCUACUGCAUCGCCUACUCGUAUGGCCAUGGAUGCAAGCUAUGGUAG
rnacentral:rRNA from 1 species